rnacentral:lncRNA from 1 species
AAGAGGUUCAAGGAAGCAGUGUCAAGCAAAGGGUUAGAAGAUGAAGUAAAGGACAUGGAUUGGGAGAGCACCUUCUUUUUGCGCCAUCUCCCAACCUCCAACAUCUCAGAAAUCACUGAUCUCAGCCAAGAGUACCGGUAUGAAAGAUUGAAAACCAUAUGAUAACGUGAUUGAUACAUAGCAUUGUCUACACAUGACAUGGUCUAAACUAGAUGAGUUAAUGAUGCAGGGAUGCAAUGAAGGAAUUUGCACAGAAAUUGGAGAAACUAGCAGAGGAGUUGCUAGACCUGUUAUGUGAAAAUCUUGGAUUAGAGAAAGGGUACUUGAAGAAUGCAUUUUAUGGAUCAAGGGGUCCAAAUUUUGGGACAAAGGUAGCAAACUACCCUGCAUGCCCAAAGCCAGAGUUGGUGAAGGGUCUUCGUGCACAUACGGAUGCGGGUGGGAUUAUCCUUCUCUUGCAAGAUGACAAGGUCAGUGGCCUUCAGCUUCUCAAAAAUGGCCAAUGGGUGGAUGUGCCUCCAAUGCGCCAUUCCAUUGUUGUUAACCUUGGUGACCAAAUUGAGGUAUGUACCUUUUUCUUUCAAUAAUGGUUAUGUCCCUAAAGCAUAACACAGUACUUAUAGUAAUUGUCGUUCAACAUUUUGGUCUAAUAUCAUAGGUCAUCACCAAUGGGAGAUACAAGAGUGUGGAGCAUCGUGUGAUUGCCCAAACGAAUGGGACCAGAAUGUCCGUAGCCUCAUUCUACAACCCUGCCAGUGAUGCUCUUAUCUACCCUGCACCAGUAUUGUUGGAGCAAAAGGCAGAGGAUACAGAACAAGUGUAUCCAAAAUUUGUAUUUGAGGAUUACAUGAAGCUCUAUGCUACACUCAAGUUCCAGCCUAAGGAGCCCAGAUUUGAAGCCAUGAAGGCUGUUGGCUCAUUUUAGAUUACUUCCAAUUACGACUGCUCAAUUGCAAGAAGAAAUUUUAUUAAUUGAGAAAAUAUGAAAAGAAUUAAGAAAUAGAAAUUAAGCUUGGAAAUGUUUAUUUAUUGAUACAAUUUGUUGUUUACAGUGGUUGAUUUGAUUUGCUUGUAUUUUGAUAAAGGAAAAUAACCAAAUUAUUCAAAUAAUAUGCAAUUUUACUGUUCUUUCUCUCCUAUCUUGACCUCUUAAUAUUUCCAAUAAUUUUUAUUAUUUCCUUUUUGGGGGAAAUUUUUUCAAUGGUUUGGGGUCUUCAUGACUAUUUUUCUUUUUACAUUAUUAGUUACUCAUGGAUGACAAGUGAGAGUUGGAUUAUUGUUAUUUUGAUAUCUGAAUGGACUUUUACGCAUACACCAUCAGCUAUUAUACACACGCUGAAUUAUCUUUGUGUACCGUUAACUGGCACGUAAAUAGAUAGUAUAUCAUGUAUUUUAAUUCAAGUCUUUUAAUGAUAGGAAUAGAAUGACAGACAAAUAAUACUUUUAAGGUUUUUUUUUAAAAAAAUUUAAUACUUUCAUAAAAACUUAAAGUGGCAAUCAAUUACACUCUCGAGAAUCAAAUUCUCCAUUCACCCAUUUAUUUUUAAAAAAGUUGAGGAUGAAUAACAUCAACAUUAUUAUAUUGAAGGGUUUUAAUUGAGAUAGAGAGUUUUAAUUGGACGAGCAGGAAAUAAGACAUUGUGAGACGGAUGAUUUCAGUCAUUUGCAAAAUCACUUAAAUGAUGUCCAUUUCUCUCAUGGAGGAGGAUUAGAACAUCUUAAUAAACACCAUUUAAAAUCAAAGUGUUUUUCAGUAUUGCGGACAUUCUUCCCCAAUGAAAAAUAAAACCAACAAAUUCAUAAAAAAUAAGUUUUUUCCUUUUUGUUUCUAUACAUUUUGCAAAAAAGUUGAAGGUUACUUAUCUACCCGUUGUUUAUUUCUAAUUUUUAUAAAAAUAGAGAGGAAGGAAAUUGAAAUAAAAUCAGAUACAAAUAUCAAUUUUUCAUUAUUUAUUUGAAAGAAAAAAUAGAAAUGACGAGUUUUUAUGGCAAGAAUCUCCCUCAAAUUGGCAUGAACUAAUAAAUUUUUAUGUUAAGAUAAAAAAAUUGUUGAUUAAAAAGUUUCUUUUAACAUAUAGUAUUCAUUCUCACCUUAUGAUAUAUGAAUAACUCAAGACCAUAUCAUUGGAUCGAUAAAAAUAUUUUUUAUUAUCAUGAUUCAUUCUUAGUCAUAUGUUUAGAUAUACGAUAUAUUAAGUUUUAAAUGUUAUUCCAUAAAAUUAUAAAAAAAAUUUAUUUAGACUCACAUUUACAAUUUGCGUAUAAUUUUAUUUAUUGAGAUUUUACCAAAUUUCACUGCAUGAUGCCCAUUUGAAAGAAAGAAGAAAUCUAACUUUGACAAGUGUCAAGAGCAGCCACCAGCAAUGGCAUGAACCUGACAUGUCUAGUGUUUUUUUUUUUUAAUUAAAAGUUACUUUCGAAUUAAAAUUAUAAAUAAUAAGUUUAAAACUAAAGUAGAAUUUGCAGACAAUUUUCAUCUUUUUAAUUUAAAAGAAAUGUCUUAAACAAAGUAGAGAAAAAAUAAAAGAAAAAAGAGAAAACGAUUUUUUAUUUUAAAAAAUAUUUUUUUCUUUCCUUAAUAGAAAUUAAGUUACUAACUUUUAAGAUUUUUCAGCAAAUAUAUUUAACUUAAUUUCUCUUUUAAAAAUUAAAAAAUAAACUGACUGGAGCGCCACUUAGAUGGCACUGUAUAACAAGAACCUGAGACUAUUUUGGUCCACAUAUUCUGCUUUCACUUCCUUUUCUAACAUUCCUAUGGUUUGUUUCCACACGUGACAAAAAUAACGUACAAAGUACGUAUGCCCGUGAUAGCCUCCAGUUCCCCAUAGUUAAAAGACAAUAUUCGAUUUAUAUUUGGACUUAAAGAGUCUUAAUUCAAUUUUUUUGUGCUGAGAAAAAACUAUGAUAAAGAUAAAGAUGAAGAGACCCCGAUGGACAGGAUAUAUAUUCUGACUAAAAGUUUUCCAGAUGGGGUCUUAAAAACUUAUUUAAGAAUUAUCCUAUCAGUUAGACGCCACAGCUUAAUACCUUAUUUAACUUAUCUUUAUUUUGGUGGCUCCUAUUAGUAUUAUUAGUCAAGUGGUGAAAGGAUCCAAAAGAGAAAGACAACUAGUUUAGGCAGAGAUAUAUCUUUGUUUCCUUUUAAAAUUUGUAUCAAUAUCUGUUUUUCAGCAAAGAAAUUGUCCAGUGAUAAUUUUCAACUAAUGGGGUCCAAUUACAUUGUUAAUGUUCAAUUACAUCUUAGAACCUAAGCCUAAAACAAUGUGAUUUUCUUUUUUCUUUUGGUGAAUUAUGAAAUUUUUCUUUUUUUAUUGAGACUUCUAACUUGGACUUUUUUUUUUUUACCAAAGUAGGUGAAGACAAAAAAUAAUUAACUGAAAAGAUUCUUUUUUUAUCCUGGAUUGUCCUAUGAUGGUGUAAUUUUUUUUUUUUUUACAUUUAUAUGUAAGAUCCAUGUAAAAAGUUAAAAAUAACUACUACUUGAAGGCAUCACUCAGUAAUUUUUUCCGCUACAAGGCAAACACACGUCAGAAAACAAUUCCUAUAAAUUGUUCUCAUACUAUUUGAAUAAAUAAUUUCCAAAAACUACCUUAGUGAAAAAGUCUUGUAGGCUAUGUUGUAAUCAAUUUUAGAUGGAGGUAGAUUUUGAGUGUACCAAAUAAAAUAAUCGGAUGGCAAAUCUAUUGUUACACAAGUACUGUUAGAUGUUUGAAUAAGCAGUUCACACGGUUUUUUAAAUCGUUCAUUAAUAACAUAAAUGCUGUUAAAACCUUAGAACUUCAUUUGCUUAUGCCACCUUCUAAGAAACCACAUGCUUAAAUGCCUUAGUACAAUUUAAGGGAAGAUGCAAGGAAGGUUGGUUUCGCCUCCAGAUGAGUCAAACGGUACCAGAAUAUAGAAUUCAAGGAUGCAAAAUGAUCUCGUGGCAUAGAUUGGCUUAACAAAGUAAGUAAGCAUGCAUCUCAUGAUUCAUCAUGAAUCACAUGGGAGAAUUUCACUUGUCCUCACUACACACUCUUUUGCAUUCCUAUAAAUGGCACACACCUAGCAUCCCAAUAUGCAUCAACAAAACACAUUAACAUUUCUCAGAAGAAAAAAAAGUGAGAGAUGGAGAACUUUCCCGUGAUCAACUUGGAGAAUCUCAACGGUGAGGAGAGGAAGGCUACCCUUAACCAGAUUGAAGAUGCUUGCCAGAACUGGGGAUUUUUUGAGGUACCCCACGAACCUGAUCAAAAGGCUUUGUUAUAUUAUAUAUAUAUAUAUAUAUAUAUAUAUAUAUAUAUAUCAUUUGCAAGUGUACAUCCCAAAAUUUUCUUCAUGUUGUUCAUUUGAACUAUAUUAAUUAUGUUGCUAUAUAUCCCGAAUUGUAGUUGGUGAGUCAUGGAAUACCCCUUGAACUAUUGGAUACUGUGGAAAGGUUAACAAAAGAGCAUUAUAGGAAAUGCAUGGAGAAGAGGUUCAAGGAGGCAGUGUCAAGCAAAGGGUUAGAAGCUGAAGUGAAGGACAUGGAUUGGGAAAGCACGUUCUUCUUGCGCCAUCUCCCAACCUCCAACAUCUCCGAAAUCCCAGAUCUCAGCCAAGAGUAUAGGUAAAAACAAAUUAAAAACUAAGAAAUACAUUUACAUGAAUAAUGAAAUAUUGUUGAUGGCAUAUUGGCAUAUAUAUUAUAUAAUUAUGUUUUCAUUACCAAUACUCCAACAGUAACAAAACAAUGCUGCAUUAAUUAACUGUGUGAUUUGUGUGACAAAUUUGAUAAUGUGAUGCAUAUCUACACAUGACAUGGUCUGAACUGUGAGUUAAUGAUGCAGGGAUGCAAUGAAGGAAUUUGCACAGAAAUUGGAGAAACUAGCAGAGGAGUUGCUAGACCUGUUAUGUGAAAAUCUUGGAUUAGAAAAAGGGUACUUGAAAAAUGCAUUUUAUGGAUCAAGAGGUCCAAAUUUUGGGACAAAGGUAGCAAACUACCCUGCAUGCCCAAAGCCAGAGUUGGUGAAGGGUCUUCGUGCACAUACGGAUGCGGGUGGGAUUAUCCUUCUCUUGCAAGAUGACAAGGUCAGUGGCCUUCAGCUUCUCAAAAAUGGCCAAUGGGUGGAUGUGCCUCCAAUGCGCCAUUCCAUUGUUGUUAACCUUGGUGACCAAAUUGAGGUAUGUACCUUUUUCUUUCAAUAAUGGUUAUGUCCCUAAAGCAUAACACAGUACUUAUAGUAUUGUCGUUCAACAUUUUGGUCUAAUAUCAUAGGUCAUUACCAAUGGGAGAUACAAGAGUGUGGAGCAUCGUGUGAUUGCCCAAACGAAUGGGACCAGAAUGUCCGUAGCCUCAUUCUACAACCCUGCCAGUGAUGCUCUUAUCUACCCUGCACCAGUAUUGUUGGAGCAAAAGGCAGAGGAUACAGAACAAGUGUAUCCAAAAUUUGUAUUUGAGGAUUACAUGAAGCUCUAUGCUACACUCAAGUUCCAGCCUAAGGAGCCCAGAUUCGAAGCCAUGAAGGCCAUUGGCUCAUUUUAGAUUACUUCCUAUUGCAGUUGCAUGAAGAAACUUUAUUAACUGAUAAAAUUUGAAAGAAAUAUCAAUUAAGCUUGUUUAUUUAAUAUGCAAUUUCUUGUUACAGCGGGUGAUUUGAUUACUUGUAUUUCGGUAAAGGAAAUAGCCAAAAUUAUUCAAAUAAUAUGCCUUUUUUCUGCUGUUCUUUCUCUACUAUCUUCUUUGGGUCUAAAUCGAGCAUAUUUCCAUUUUUUUUUUGUAAGGAAAUUAAAUGUUAAGGAUUCUCUAGACAGUUCUUGUCAAAAUGAGACUUCUUCGUUAAUAAAAUCUUUCAAUUCGUUUUAUUUCAAUAAUUAAUAUGCCACUGUAUAACUAGAACAUGACGCUAUAGUUUUAUCUAAUUUUUUAGUUUAAUUACACACUUUUCCUCGUUACUUUAACAAUUUUGCAAAAUUCGUCACAGUAAUAUAACAUUGACUCCUGACGCGAUAGUUUUAUCUAGCACUGGCAUGAGAAUGACAUGCUGAUAGUCUAGCCAAUUUCGGGUUACAGCCACGGGGUAAUGGUACAAGCUUUUGAUUGUGUCUUAGUUUAUUUCCUGGGGCUUUGCCCUUUCAGUUCAACAAAAUAAAUAAAUGCAAUUAGAGGCAAAUUGCACAAAAUUUUGAAAUUGAAGAGGCAAAUUGUACAAAAGUUAAUAAAUGAUAAAAUUGUUAGUGGUGAGAUUAAUUUUCAUAUUUUAUUACUUUUCCUGUUUCAUUAUAAUUAUUGUAUAAAAGAAAAAAAUUAUCUUAAAAUAAUUAUCAUUUUAAUUUUUUGUUAAUGUAUUAUUAAUUUUUUUUACUUAUAUUUCUUGUAAUAUUAAUAAUGAAAAACAAAAAUUACAAAUAAAUUAAUGAUUAUAUAUAAUUAAUUUUAUAAAAUUAUUAUGCUCUUUUAUUUAUUAAUUAUUUUUUCUUAAUUCAUGUAAAAUAAUCUAAAAUGACAAUUAUAAUAACACAGAAAAUAUUAUCAUAAUCACUAAAUUACUGUAUUUGACAUGUUUAAUUUAAUUCAUAAAUAAAAAUGUUGUAUCUAUUCUAUUCGUCUCCAAAGUAUAACCAUUGGGGAAUUUAUUUUUUAUCUAAUAUAAUUUUUAUUAUUUAGUUAAAAUUAAAAAUAAUAUAACUGUUAAAAAAUCAAUCAUAAAAAGUAUUUAAAAUAAUACGUUCUUAUAAAAAAAUUGAAAUUAAAAUACCCGUCCCUCUAACCACUUAUUUUUUAUUAAAUAAAUAUUUUUUAGCACAAUCAAAUGGCCAUAUUUAUUGUAUGAAAAGUAUUAUUGUAAAAAAUAGUUUAUAUUUAACAAAUUAUACAAAAAUAAUAUAUAAAUUAUAUAAAAAAUUAAUAUAUAAAAUAUACCAUUAUCUUUUAUUAUUCAAAGUGGACUAUGAUAAAUAAGUUAUACUCUUAAAAAAAAUUGUAUUGAGGAAUCUAUCUUCAAUGUAAUAAGCAAUGUCACAAUGAAUUGUUAUUUUGACAAAAGGAAAAUCAUAUCAUUAUCAUUCAUAACAUUUGAGAAAUACAAAAGGGAAUGCAAUCAAGAUCAUCGAUGUUAGCAUUGAACCUUGAUGUUCUUCUAAGGUUAUAAGCAACAAGAUUGACUCAUCUCCUAGCAUAACUCGCCCUAGAGUUUGGAAUAGGAGAUAACAAUUGCCUACAGUUUGAUGGUAUCCAAUGAUAAGGGUUGAGUCCAGUUGCAACAGUUGUGAUGAUGUGAGUAAUCAAUUUGCAGUUAGUCUCAAAAACAAUAUUUUGGAGAUGCACUUCAGUAAUCAAUUGGAGGGUUUUGUAGAGACCAAACACUUCAACUUCUACAGGUUUCAGCAGCCCAUUGAAAUAGCAUGUUCGAGCUUUUAUGAAGAGACAAUUGGUGUGUCUCGUAGGCACAUGCCAAUGCCAAAACGCUUUUGUGUCCAGAUUGCAUUUCGUGUAUCCUUGCUCUGGUUUUUGCCAUUUCAUUUGGUUUUGCUAGAUAUUGCAUGAAGAGAUGAAUUGCAGUAGUUAGUUGAGUUUUAGAGUUCUCCCAAACUUUCUGGUUUCUAGCUUUCCAAAUGCUCCAAAGAGUUACAACUAGCCUGUUUUUUUGUUGCAGAGGAAGAGUAUGGAGAAGGUGGAACAUAAGAUGCUGGAAACCAUAUCCGAGGAGUUUAUUAUAGCUUCUAUAGAGUUCUAGAGGCCAGCAUGUUGCCAAAACUUGCUCUUGAGCUUUGGGACAAGACAUGAAGAGGUGCCACUCAUUCUCGAAAUGCGUAGAACAAAACCAACACUAGAGGCUUCGUCUGAUUGGACCCAAUAAUCAAAGAAAAAAAAAAAGGAGAAAGAUAAGACUAAAUUCUCUUUAUUUUCUUUCAUUUAUUUCUGAUGAAAAUGAGAGCAAAAUUGGGUGAUGUGGGCCCUAUUUUAAAAUUUAUUUUCACCAGAAAAAAAAACUCAAAUUUAUAUAUGAAAAGAUAAAAAGAUUCUCAAUCUAAUUAUUAAAUCUUUUUUAUAUUCUUUUUGUUAUUUAUUGUUGUUGUUUUUAUGUUAGAGGUGUUUUUAUUUAUCUGUUUGAGGUAUUUUUUUUCCUUCUCUUAUUUUUACUUUGCAAUUAUUUUUCCCCCCUCUUUUGUAUGUUCUUCUCCUUCCUCAUUUGCUCAUUCUCUUCUUCACGUUUUUUUAACGUUUUUUUUUCCUUCUUCGUUUUGCUAUUAAUUUGUCGUGAUGUUUCUUGUAUUUUUUUUCUUUUCUCAUUAUUUCAUCACUUGCAAUGUUUGCUAAUUUACUAUGAGCAUCCUGAUGGUGUUCGAAGGGUUGCGAUGCUUAAUUUUAUAAUUAUUUAAUCUUUUUUCUAAUUUUUUUAUUUAAGUUUAUAAAAAUAUAUUAAUAUAUUCAAAAUUUGUUAAUUCAUUUUUUAACUUUGUUUGUAAAUAAUUUUAUUUAAGGGUAUGCAUGUCUUUUUAUAAAUUUAUAUUUUUCUUUCUUCUCAUUUUUUAUACAAUCUAACAAAGGAAAAGAAAAUUCAUUUUAUCUUAAUUUCUUUUGAUUUUCUCUUAUAACAAACAAUAAAAAAAUCACCUCAUUUUUUUUUUAUUUCCUGUCUUUUUCUUUUCUUUCACUUUUCUUUAUUUUUAAUUUCUUUUGUAAACCAAAAAAAGAGUAAGAUUGACCAGCAUAAUUUUAAAUUAUGUCACCUAUGUUACAGUUUACUCCAUAGUUUAUUUGAGCAUUGAUUGUUAUAAUUUAUUUAAUUAUAUAAGUUUUAUAAUUAUAAAAUUUAAUAAAUAAAAUUGUAUAAAACAUAAACUUGUUUAAUUAAAAUAAAAAUCUUUAUUAAAUAAAUUUAUCGUCUUAAAUUUUAAUUUUUUUUCAUACAAUAAAUAUAGGGUUUGUGCUUUAAAAAAAAUUAUUUUAAGUGGGACAUCAUUAUAAUUUUAAUUUUUGUUAUAAGUAUAUAUUAUUAUAAAUUAUUUUUAUAACUGAUUUUUUUAAAUAAGUUAUAUUUUUAAUUAAAAUAAUAAAAUUCUAAUAGGAAAAAUUAAAUUCUCACAAUAGUUAUUACUUUGGGACCAAAUCUGCAAUUAACAAAUACGGCUAUAGUAUUCAUAAAAUAAUUUUUAUUUAGAACUAAAAAAAGUCAAGUGACUUAUUAUCUGAAGUGAUAGAGGAAUAGGAAAAGAGUAUGGAUUUUAAUUCUAUUCUGAACAUUUAUUAUUUUAAACGUUUAUAAUUUUCACAGAUUUAAUUUCUUAACUUUAAAUAUUUUCACACAUUUUAGUGUUUAAAAUUCUGUACAUUUUUUCCGAACUGUAGAUCGGCACAAUAAUGCCAUUUCAACGAUCCCUAUUAGUGUCAUGUGUAUUAUCAUGUUAAUAUCAAAGUAUAACGUCAAUAAUAAGUACCAUCACAUUAUUAGUCAAUUAACGAUAAUGACCAUUAACCGCCAUUACCCAUUGUUGGUNNNNNNNNNNNNNNNNNNNNNNNNNNNNNNNNNNNNNNNNNNNNNNNNNNNNNNNNNNNNNNNNNNNNNNNNNNNNNNNNNNNNNNNNNNNNNNNNNNNNCUUGGAAAAAUGGGAGAACUGAAAAGUCGUAAUCAGUUAGGACGCCAACAACUUAUCUUUUGUUUGGUGUCUCGUAUUGGGCAAGUGGUUAAGGAAAGGAAAGGAAAAGACAACUAGUACAGACAGAUAGUGAUAUAUCUUGUUUCCUUUUUAAUUAAAUUUGUAUCAAUAAUUAUUUUAAAAAAGACAUUGUCCGGCUAUAAUUAAUUUUCAAUUAAUGGCGUCUAAUUACUAAACAUGUGUUUGAAAACAUGUUGGGAAGUAAGAAAUUAUGUUUGAAUUUUGAAAUAUAGAAUGCAAUAAGUCAAUAAUUGCAAGCUUCUUAAUAAACAUGAAAGACUUUGGUUUUUAAAAAAAAACAUGAAACACUACAUCUAAAAUAUAAAUCCAAUCACGCUAUAGAAACCGUUGAAGUUCAAAACAAUUAAUAUGAAAAAUUUCUUAUGCUUGAAAAUUAUAAGCUAUGGGUGCUAAUCAAUUUUAGGAGGUAAAUUUUGCGGGUACCGAAUACAAUAACAGCAAGGCAGAUCUAUUGUCACUUAAUAAUUUGUUACAUGCCAGAAUAACAGAAUAAGGAGUUCACAAGCUUUCGUAAUAAAUAAAAGAUAAAUUCUAAUUAGUGCCUAAAGAAAUUAGUUAAGAAAUUUAAAAAUAAAAAUAUUUUUAUUGAGAGACGAAAAAUUAUAUUAUUUAUUAUUUUUUACGUUGUUCUAUAAUUUACAUAAUAAAUAUAUUUUUUUAAUUUCUUAAUUAAUAUCUUGAAUAUUAAUUAGCAAGAUCCUAAAUACAGAAAAUAAUUUUAGAACUUCAUUUGAUGGUGCUACCUUCUAAGAAACCACGUGCUGAAACAUCAUAGUACUACAAUUUAAGGGAAAAUGCAAGGAAGGUUGGGUUCGCCUCCAUGAGAUGAGUCCACCGAUACCAAAGUAGACAAUUCAACUACGUAAGUACGCAUGCAUCUCAUGAUUCAUGAGAUACACAGGAGAAUUUUUAAUUUGUCAUGUUGUCUUCACUGAACUCUUUGCAUUCCUAUAAAUGGCACACACCUAGCAUCCUAAUAUGCACCAACAAACACAUUAAGUAUUCUCAUAAGAACAAAGGAAAGACAAAGAGAGAGAGAUGGAGAACUUUCCCGUGAUCAACUUGGAGAAUCUCAACGGUGAGGCGAGGAAAGCUACCCUGCACCAGAUUGAAGAUGCUUGCCAGAACUGGGGAUUUUUUGAGGUACCCCACAACCACAAACUUGCUGACAAAAGCUCUGUCAUACUCACUCAAAUUUAUAUCUAUACAUUUGAAACAUUAAGUUUUCUUAAUCUUGUUCAUUUAAAUUAUAUAUGUUAAUUGUGCUGCUUUCCUGAUUGUAGUUGGUGAAUCAUGGAAUACCCCUUGAACUUUUGGAUACGGUGGAAAGGUUAACAAAAGAGCAUUAUAGGAAAUGCAUGGAGAAGAGGUUCAAGGAGGCAGUGUCAAGCAAAGGGUUAGAAGAUGAAGUAAAGGACAUGGAUUGGGAGAGCACCUUCUUUUUGCGCCAUCUCCCAACCUCCAACAUCUCAGAAAUCCCUGAUCUCAGCCAAGAGUACCGGUAUGAGAAAUUGAAAACCAUAUGAUAACGUGAUUGAUACAUAGCAUUGUCUACACAUGACAUGAUCUAAACUAGAUGAGUUAAUGAUGCAG